CUCCUCUGUGUAGUCGAUAGUUUGGGUAGUGAAGAGAUGGCUGACAGUGUCAAAACAUUUCUCCAGGACCUGGCCAGGGGAAUCAAAGACUCCAUAUGGGGUAUUUGCACCAUCUCAAAGUUAGAUGCUGGAAUCCAGCAAAAGAGAGAGGAGCAGCGCCUAAGAAGGGCAAGCAGUGUCCUGGCACAGAGGAGAGCCCAGAGCACGGAGCGGAAGCGAGAGAGCGAGCCACGUAUUGUUAGUAGAAUUCUCCAGUGUUGUGCUUGGAAUGGUGGAGUAUUCUGAUGUAGUCUCCUCUUAUUUUAUCGAAUGUUUAUUCCUGGGCUUCAGUAUGUAACAGCCCUAAUUAUUGGUGAUCCAUCACUGCAUGGAGUUUUUUGGUCCUGGCUGGAAUUUUUCCUCACGUCAAUUUUCAGCGCUCUCUGGGUGCUCCCCCUGUUUGUGCUGAGCAAAGUCGUAAAUGCCAUUUGGUUUCGGGAAAUGCACCGUUGAAAUGCACCAACGGUUGUCAAACAUAGAAAGGAACUGGCCUUCCUACUUUGGCUUUGGUUUGCCCUUGGCUUUUCUCACUGCAAUGCAGUCCUCAUACAUUAUCAGUGGCUGCCUCUUCUCCAUCCUCUUUCCUUUAUUCAUUAUCAGCGUCAAUGAGGCAAAGACCCCUGGAAAAGCAUACCUCUUCCAGUUGCGACUCUUCUCCUUGGUGGUCUUCUUAAGCAACCGACUCUUCCUCAAGACAGUGUACCUGCAGUCUGCCCUGAGCAGCUCAACCUCUGCAGAGACGUUCCCUUGGCGACAUCCAUCUCCUGCCAAACCGAAAGCUGCUGCAGGCCACUGAGCUCCCUGCCACCCAAAGGGGGUGGGUGGGAGUGGA